CAUGAAAGUGGCGGAUGGGUGAGUAACGCGUAAGAAACCUGCCUUUCACACCGGGAUAGCAGCUGGAAACGGCUAUUAAUACCGGAUGAUACUUUUCUGACGCAUGUUAGGAAGGUCAAAGAAUUUCGGUGAAAGAUGGUCUUGCGUCUGAUUAGCUAGUUGGUGGGGUAACGGCCCACCAAGGCGACGAUCAGUAGCCGGCCUGAGAGGGUGUACGGCCACAUUGGGACUGAGACACGGCCCAAACUCC
rnacentral:rRNA from 1 species